rnacentral:rRNA from 1 species
GACGAACGCUGGCGGCGUGCCUAAUACAUGCAAGUCGAACGCAGUGGGGACGGGUGAGUAACACGUGGGUAACCUCCCAUCAGAGGGGAUAACACUUGGAAACAGGUGCUAAACCGAUACUGAUGGAUGGACCCGCGGUGCAUUAGCUAGUUGGUGAGGUAACGGCUCACCAAGGCCACGAUGCAUAGCCGACUGGAGGGGGUGACCGGCCACCAGGGGAUUGAGAAAAGCCCCAGAUCCCUACGGGAGGCGGCAGUAGGGAAUCUUCGGCAAUGGACGAAAGUCUGACCGAGCAACGCGGCGUGAGUGAAGAAGGUUUUCGGAUCGUAAAACUUGGUUGUUAGAGAAGCGGUAUCUAACCAGAAAGCCACGGCUAACUACGUGCCAGCAGCCGCGGUAAUUC